ACUCAACAUUUAGUGGAAGUUUAACAACUGCACAAGCACCACAACUAUAUCUAACCGUAUUAGAUUCAUAUAUGACAUCGCCGCCCCAAUACAAUGCAGCUCUAACACGAUGCUCAUUCGACAUUUUUAAACCUGUAAAAAUAACUUUAGUUAUUAACAAAUUAUUUACUCAAUAGGGAGAGCAAUAUACUAAGAAAAAAUUACUAACCUUUUUUACUCCAAUUCAG
rnacentral:lncRNA from 1 species